UGCCACAUUUUUCUCCAGCGGGCUCCUUGGGCUGCUGGGAUCCCGCCCCUGUGCCUGCAGUGCACCCCCCAGAGAGAAGAUGGAACGGGAAAUACCAACCAGCAGCUCCAGGGCACAAGGAAAUCCAGCCAAUGGGGAGUCUGGCCUCAGCCCUCCCCACUCUUGCUGACCCUACCCUGGAAUCCCAACACCGUGACUCGGGUGGACAGGAAGCUGGCGUCCCUGUCUACCAUUGAGGAUAACCUCGCCUGCAUCGAGUGGUCGUUGCAAGGUUCCGGAAGACCCCAAGGGGACAGGCUCUGCAGGAGCAGCACAGAGGGCCACCACCCCAUCGCUGACCAGUCUCUCUGGUGGCCGGCAUCUCAGAGCCCAGGGUGGGGGGGGGCUCAGCCUGUGGGCAGGGACUUCCAGGGUGAGGUGGGCGGAGGCCCCAAAGCCCAGGGGGGCGGGAGCCAGAGGCUGCUGCACACGCACCAGCACACAGCUCCGUCUUUAGAAUGGGCCUCGUUUUAAGAGCAAAUACGCAGCAGCACCAGCGAGCACCGCAUCCCAACAGCACGCGGAGGUUCUUUCCUUCCUGCGCAGAUGCUGUGGCCGCAGCGCAGGCCCCGGCUCGGCCUCCACGGAAACCGUGCCCUUCCGUCGCUUCUCGGCCACUGGCCUACGGUCCAGUGUGAGAGCCUGGCUCCGCCGUCCUGCACUCGAGCAGUGCGCACACCUAGCCCCUGUCCCUUACCACCUCGGAACGGAAUCACACAAUUACCAAGACUAAUAAAAGCUCAAAAACGACUCCACAAA